rnacentral:tRNA from 1 species
UUAAUUGAAACCAAAAUAGAGGUAAUUCAUUGUUAAUGAUAAAAUUGAAAUAAUUUCCAAUUAAA